rnacentral:rRNA from 1 species
UUCAAAUUGAGAGUUUGAUCCUGGCUCAGGAUGAACGCUGGCGGCGUGCCUAAUACAUGCAAGUCGAACGCACAGCGAAAGGUGCUUGCAUCUUUCAAGUGAGUGGCGAACGGGUGAGUAACACGUGGACAACCUGCCUCAAGGCUGGGGAUAACAUUUGGAAACAGAUGCUAAUACCGAAUAAAACUUAGAGUCGCAUGACACAAAGUUAAAAGGCGCUUCGGCGUCACCUAGAGAUGGAUCCGCGGUGCAUUAGUUAGUUGGUGGGGUAAAGGCCUACCAAGACAAUGAUGCAUAGCCGAGUUGAGAGACUGAUCGGCCACAUUGGGACUGAGACACGGCCCAAACUCCUACGGGAGGCUGCAGUAGGGAAUCUUCCACAAUGGGCGAAAGCCUGAUGGAGCAACGCCGCGUGUGUGAUGAAGGCUUUCGGGUCGUAAAGCACUGUUGUAUGGGAAGAACAGCUAGAAUAGGAAAUGAUUUUAGUUUGACGGUACCAUACCAGAAAGGGACGGCUAAAUACGUGCCAGCAGCCGCGGUAAUACGUAUGUCCCGAGCGUUAUCCGGAUUUAUUGGGCGUAAAGCGAGCGCAGACGGUUUAUUAAGUCUGAUGUGAAAGCCCGGAGCUCAACUCCGGAAUGGCAUUGGAAACUGGUUAACUUGAGUGCAGUAGAGGUAAGUGGAACUCCAUGUGUAGCGGUGGAAUGCGUAGAUAUAUGGAAGAACACCAGUGGCGAAGGCGGCUUACUGGACUGCAACUGACGUUGAGGCUCGAAAGUGUGGGUAGCAAACAGGAUUAGAUACCCUGGUAGUCCACACCGUAAACGAUGAACACUAGGUGUUAGGAGGUUUCCGCCUCUUAGUGCCGAAGCUAACGCAUUAAGUGUUCCGCCUGGGGAGUACGACCGCAAGGUUGAAACUCAAAGGAAUUGACGGGGACCCGCACAAGCGGUGGAGCAUGUGGUUUAAUUCGAAGCAACGCGAAGAACCUUACCAGGUCUUGACAUCCUUUGAAGCUUUUAGAGAUAGAAGUGUUCUCUUCGGAGACAAAGUGACAGGUGGUGCAUGGUCGUCGUCAGCUCGUGUCGUGAGAUGUUGGGUUAAGUCCCGCAACGAGCGCAACCCUUAUUGUUAGUUGCCAGCAUUCAGAUGGGCACUCUAGCGAGACUGCCGGUGACAAACCGGAGGAAGGCGGGGACGACGUCAGAUCAUCAUGCCCCUUAUGACCUGGGCUACACACGUGCUACAAUGGCGUAUACAACGAGUUGCCAACCCGCGAGGGUGAGCUAAUCUCUUAAAGUACGUCUCAGUUCGGAUUGUAGUCUGCAACUCGACUACAUGAAGUCGGAAUCGCUAGUAAUCGCGGAUCAGCACGCCGCGGUGAAUACGUUCCCGGGUCUUGUACACACCGCCCGUCACACCAUGGGAGUUUGUAAUGCCCAAAGCCGGUGGCCUAACCUUUUAGGAAGGAGCCGUCUAAGGCAGGACAGAUGACUGGGGUGAAGUCGUAACAAGGUAGCCGUAGGAGAACCUGCGGCUGGAUCACCUCCUUUCUAAGGAUAAUCGGAAA